ensembl:lncRNA
AGAAGAGUUGUUCUCGGAACUAAACCCGAAAGGAAAGGAGCUGGACACAGAGAGGACGGGCCUCGCCGCAGGCCGGGCAGCAAGCUCCUGGGAGCCCGCUCGUUGAAAACGGGAUAAUCUUUCCAACUCAGUAGAAUAUGAGGAAAGCGUUAGAAGUGACUUUUAUUUGAAGAAAAUGAUUGGAAGUCAAACAAAACAUAGAAAACACUCGAAGAAAAUGGGAUGAAAACAUGACUUGUGACGCUGCUUGGAGAUGGGGCAUGCGCUUUUCAGGUCCCUUGGCUCCUUGGAAACAGACUGGAAAUUAUCGAGACUCUUUAAUUAAAAUAUCAUCAGCUGCGAUGGAAAAUCCACUAAUAGUUUGUGGGUAAAAACGUGAAGUGAGAAGAUAACAGUUUCCUCGGUAAAAGGUCAGUGUGUGCCUGCUCAGCCGCUUCAGAUGUGCGCGCCUCUCC